GAUGAGGAGAUAGGCGGGAGCGAGGGAGCGAGGGAGGGAGCGAAGGAGGUAGAGAGGAGUGGAGGCGCCAGGGGAGGGAGCACAGCUUGGUUGCUCCGUAGUACGGCGGCUCGCGAGGAAGAAUCCCGAGCGGGCUCCGGGACGGACAGAGAGGCGGGCGGGGAUGGUGUGCGGGGUUGCGGCUCCUGCGUCCCUCCCCGCGGCGCGUGAGCGGCACUGAUUUGUCCCUCGGGCGGCAGCGCGGACCCGCCCGGAGAUGAGGCGUCAAUUAGCAAGGUAAAAGUAACAGAACCAUGGCUCAGUUUCCAACACCUUUUGGUGGCAGCCUGGAUAUCUGGGCCAUAACUGUAGAGGAAAGAGCGAAGCAUGAUCAGCAGUUCCAUAGUUUAAAGCCAAUAUCUGGAUUCAUUACUGAAUUUCGCUCUCGUUGCCCAGGCUGGAGUAUAAUGGCGUGAUCUUGGCUCACUGCAACCU
rnacentral:sRNA from 1 species